UACGUAGGGACCAAGCGUUGUUCGGAUUUACUGGGCGUAAAGGGCGCGUAGGCGGCGUGGUAAGUCACUUGUGAAAUCUCUGAGCUUAACUCAGAACGGCCAAGUGAUACUGCUGUGCUAGAGUGCAGAAGGGGCAAUCGGAAUUCUUGGUGUAGCGGUGAAAUGCGUAGAUAUCAAGAGGAACACCUGAGGUGAAGACGGGUUGCUGGGCUGAUACUGACGCUGAAGCGCGAAAGCGAGGGUAGCAAACGGG
rnacentral:rRNA from 1 species